rnacentral:rRNA from 1 species
AUGCCAAGUGAUAUUGGUGCCUGUAUUACUCCGCCGGACCCAGCUGAUGCGUUGGCGAUUGUUGCCAUUGUGGAAGAGCAACAAACUAAUGAAAACUCGGACUCUAAUCAGCAAGAAGAAAAUAUCAACUCCAACAUCGGCGAUGACAAUGUAAGUGGCUCCGAGAAUGUAAGUAAUUCGUCGGAUGCACAUGCCCAACCUGCUAGUGUUGAUGAACAACCAGUUUAUACUGCCGAUAUUUAUGAUCCAAAAAACUGGGAUAAUCUUGAUAAUAAAGCAAGAGAUAUCUUAGUUGAGAAAGGGCCUAUCAGAGAGGAAAAAAUGGAAUACCAUGUAGAUGAAACAGGAAGACAUUUUUCGUAUGCUCAUUAUCAUAGAAAAUUAAGCAAUGGAGAGGAACAUGAUAGGAAAUGGCUAGUUUAUUCAAAAAAUGUCAAUAAAAUUUUUUGUUUCUGUUGUAAGAUCUUCAAGUCUAGCACCAACAGGAGUCAGAGUUCCUUAGCACAUGAUGGACUAGGACAUUGGAGGCAUAUUAGUGAGAAGCUCAAAGAACAUGAAAAUAGCAUUGAGCAUAUUAAUAACAUGAACAAGUGGAAUGAAUUGAGAGUUAGACUGAGAAAACAGGAAACUAUUGAUAAGGAUUUGCAACAUCAAAUAACAAAGGAGAAAGAACGUGUCAGGCAAGUUCUGUUCAGAAUAAUAGCAGUUGUGAAAUAUCUUGGUAAACGCAACUUGGCUUUUCGUGGAAGUAGUGAGCAACUUUACAAGGAUGAUAAUGGUAAUUUCUUAGCUUGCAUUGAGAUGAUUGCAGAAUUUGAUAUGGUAAUGCAAGAUCACCUUAGACGUGUUGAGAACAAGGAAAUCCAUUAUCACUAUCUCAGUCAUAAAAUACAAAAUGAGCUGAUAUCUCUUUUGGCUUCUGACAUCACAUGUUCUAUCAUAAAGGUUGUUAAAGAGGCCAAGUAUUUCUCUGUUAUCCUAGAUUGUACCCCUGAUGUUAGUCAUCAAGAACAAAUGACCUUUUUAAUUCGAUGUGUUAAUCUGUCUGAUGGCAAAAUAAAAUUUGAGGAGUACUUUCUGGGGUUCUUGAAAGUGGAUGACACUUCUGGCUUAGGGAUUUUUAAAGUACUGCUUGAUUCUGUUGAGUCUUCUGGCCUAAAUAUUCAAGAUAUAAGGGGUCAAGGAUAUGAUAACGGUUCUAAUAUGAAAGGAAAAUACCAAGGGGUACAAUCUAGGUUACUUGAUAUGAAUCCAAGAGCAUUAUAUAUGCCAUGUGCUUGUCAUAGCCUAAAUCUCACUCUCUGUGAUAUGGCAAAAUCAUGUGAGAAAGCUGUUUCAUUUUUUGGAAUUGUUCAACGCAUAUAUGUAUUAUUUGCUGGCUCUACAAAAAGGUGGAAUGUUUUGCUUAAACAUGUUCCUAGUUUGACCGUGAAAUCAUUGUCCAAUACUCGUUGGGAGAGUAGAAUCAAAAGUGUUACAGCAAUAAGAUAUCAAGCCGCUGAGUUAAGGUCACCUUUGUCUGAGUUACGUCAUGCUUCUGACACUGAUCCUAAAGAUAAAAGUGAUGCCAAAAAUUUAUUUGAUGCACUUGGUCGCUUUGAGUUUCUAGUUGGUAUGAUUAUCUGGCAUGAUGUUCUAUUUGCUGUAAAUAAAGUUAGCAAGAUGUUGCAAUCGUCAACCAUGUGCAUUGACUCCGCUUUGAAGCAAAUAAAAGGUAUAACAAAAUAUUUUGAGAAGUACAAAGAUGAGGGGUUUUCUUCAAGUCUGACCAUCGCUAAAGGUAUUGCAACUGAAAUGGGAAUAGAGCCAUUGUUUCCAGUAAAACGUCAUGCUAAGAGGAAGAAACAGUAUGAUGAAAGUGAUUGUCAAGAAGAAAUCUUGGAAGCUGAGAAGGCUUUCCAAGUUAAAUAUUUUAAUGUUUUGGUUGAUAUGGUGAUCACUUCUUUGAAUGAUAGAUUUAAAGAACUCAUGGUCUUUAAAGAUAUACUCGGAUUUUUAUUGAGCUCGGGCACUCUCACGUCAUUAAGUGACAAUGAACUUGAAAUGUUGCACAAAAUUUGCAGAAACUUUCUCUCUUAA